rnacentral:rRNA from 1 species
UACGUAGGGUGCGAGCGUUGUCCGGAAUUAUUGGGCGUAAAGAGCUCGUAGGCGGUCUGUCGCGUCUGCUGUGAAAUCCCGAGGCUCAACCUCGGGCCUGCAGUGGGUACGGGCAGACUAGAGUGCGGUAGGGAGAUUGGAAUUCCUGGUGUAGCGGUGGAAUGCGCAGAUAUCAGGAGGAACACCGAUGGCGAAGGCAGAUCUCUGGGCCGUAACUGACGCUGAGGAGCGAAAGCGUGGGAGCGAACAGG